UACAUAGCUCAGUGGUAGAGCAUCUGCUUUGCAUGCAGAAGAUACUAGAUUCAAUCCCUCCACAUAAAAA